rnacentral:tRNA from 1 species
GGGGAUUUAGCUCAGUGGCAGAGCGCUUGCCUAGCAAGCGAAAGGCCCUGGGUUCGGUCCCCAGCUCCA